rnacentral:lncRNA from 1 species
UUUUCUGAGAAAAAAAAUGGUUGCAUGCUACCGCUUUGUUCUUUUUCUUUUUUCUUUUUUUUUUUUAAUAGAAAUGAGCUUAAUUGAAAAUACGAAGCAACUAAAAUUUAAACUUGGAUCUCGAAUACCAACCAUCAAGCCGUUUAUUACUUGCGCUAGGUCAAUGAGGAAGAUGUUGAUACCGAAAUAUGCCUUAAUGUGCGAAAUCUUGUUAUUUUUAAAUAAUUCAU